CUAACAAAUGCAAGUCGAGCGGUAGCACAGAGAGCUUGCUCUCGGGUGACGAGCGGCGGACGGGUGAGUAAUGUCUGGGAAACUGCCUGAUGGAGGGGGAUAACUACUGGAAACGGUAGCUAAUACCGCAUAAUGUCGCAAGACCAAAGUGGGGGACCUUCGGGCCUCAUGCCAUCAGAUGUGCCCAGAUGGGAUUAGCUAGUAGGUGGGGUAACGGCUCACCUAGGCGACGAUCCCUAGCUGGUCUGAGAGGAUGACCAGCCACACUGGAACUGAGACACGGUCCAGACUCCUACGGGAGGCAGCAGUGGGGAAUAUUGCACAAUGGGCGCAAGCCUGAUGCAGCCAUGCCGCGUGUGUGAAGAAGGCCUUCGGGUUGUAAAGCACUUUCAGCGGGGAGGAAGGCGGUGAGGUUAAUAACCUUGUCGAUUGACGUUACCCGCAGAAGAAGCACCGGCUAACUCCGUGCCAGCAGCCGCGGUAAUACGGAGGGUGCAAGCGUUAAUCGGAAUUACUGGGCGUAAAGCGCACGCAGGCGGUCUGUCAAGUCGGAUGUGAAAUCCCCGGGCUCAACCUGGGAACUGCAUUCGAAACUGGCAGGCUAGAGUCUUGUAGAGGGGGGUAGAAUUCCAGGUGUAGCGGUGAAAUGCGUAGAGAUCUGGAGGAAUACCGGUGGCGAAGGCGGCCCCCUGGACAAAGACUGACGCUCAGGUGCGAAAGCGUGGGGAGCAAACAGGAUUAGAUACCCUGGUAGUCCACGCCGUAAACGAUGUCGAUUUGGAGGUUGUGCCCUUGAGGCGUGGCUUCCGGAGCUAACGCGUUAAAUCGACCGCCUGGGGAGUACGGCCGCAAGGUUAAAACUCAAAUGAAUUGACGGGGGCCCGCACAAGCGGUGGAGCAUGUGGUUUAAUUCGAUGCAACGCGAAGAACCUUACCUGGUCUUGACAUCCACAGAACUUUCCAGAGAUGGAUUGGUGCCUUCGGGAACUGUGAGACAGGUGCUGCAUGGCUGUCGUCAGCUCGUGUUGUGAAAUGUUGGGUUAAGUCCCGCAACGAGCGCAACCCUUAUCCUUUGUUGCCAGCGGUUAGGCCGGGAACUCAAAGGAGACUGCCAGUGAUAAACUGGAGGAAGGUGGGGAUGACGUCAAGUCAUCAUGGCCCUUACGACCAGGGCUACACACGUGCUACAAUGGCAUAUACAAAGAGAAGCGACCUCGCGAGAGCAAGCGGACCUCAUAAAGUAUGUCGUAGUCCGGAUUGGAGUCUGCAACUCGACUCCAUGAAGUCGGAAUCGCUAGUAAUCGUAGAUCAGAAUG
rnacentral:rRNA from 1 species